rnacentral:rRNA from 1 species
AGGCCCCUCGUAGACUACGAGGUUGAUAGGCCGGAUGUGGAAGGCCAGUAAUGGCUGAAGCUUACCGGUACUAAUUGGCCGUGCGGCUUGACCAUAUUUCCC